rnacentral:tRNA from 1 species
GGGGCCAUCGUCUAGUGGUUAGGACGCCGGGUUUUCAACCCGAUAACCGGAGUUCGAUUCUCCGUGGCCCUACCA